rnacentral:piRNA from 1 species
UAGGCAACUUAAUAACCACUAGCUAUGA